AUUGAACGCUGGCGGCAUGCUUUACACAUGCAAGUCGAACGGUAACAGGCCGCAAGGUGCUGACGAGUGGCGAACGGGUGAGUAAUGCAUCGGAACGUGCCCAGUCGUGGGGGAUAACGCAGCGAAAGCUGCGCUAAUACCGCAUACGAUCUGUGGAUGAAAGCGGGGGACCGUAAGGCCUCGCGCGAUUGGAGCGGCCGAUGUCAGAUUAGGUAGUUGGUGGGGUAAAGGCUCACCAAGCCAACGAUCUGUAGCUGGUCUGAGAGGACGACCAGCCACACUGGGACUGAGACACGGCCCAGACUCCUGCGGGGGGCAGCAGUGGGGAAUUUUGGACAAUGGGCGCAAGCCUGAUCCAGCAAUGCCGCGUGCAGGAAGAAGGCCUUCGGGUUGUAAACUGCUUUUGUACGGAACGAAACGGUGAGCUCUAAUACAGUUUGCUAAUGACGGUACCGUAAGAAUAAGCACCGGCUAACUACGUGCCAGCAGCCGCCGUAAAAC
rnacentral:rRNA from 1 species